GACGAACGCUGGCGGCGUGCCUAAUACAUGCAAGUAGAACGCACAGUUUAUACCGUAGCUUGCUACACCAUAGACUGUGAGUUGCGAACGGGUGAGUAACGCGUAGGUAACCUGCCUGGUAGCGGGGGAUAACUAUUGGAAACGAUAGCUAAUACCGCAUAAUAUUAAUUAUUGCAUGAUAAUUAAUUGAAAGGUGCAAUUGCACCACUACCAGAUGGACCUGCGUUGUAUUAGCUAGUAGGUGAGGUAACGGCUCACCUAGGCGACAAUACAUAGCCGACCUGAGAGGGUGAUCGGCCACACUGGGACUGAGACACGGCCCAGACUCCUACGGGAGGCAGCAGUAGGGAAUCUUCGGCAAUGGACGAAAGUCUGACCGAGCAACGCCGCGUGAGUGAAGAAGGUUUUCGGAUCGUAAAGCUCUGUUGUAAGAGAAGAACGGGUGUGAGAGUGGAAAGUUCACACUGUGACGGUAUCUUACCAGAAAGGGACGGCUAACUACGUG
rnacentral:rRNA from 1 species